GAAUUCCUAGAUUCGUCCCAAAAUCUGGGACGAAUCAAAGAUUCGUCCCAAAAAAUAAGCAAUGGAAAGAAAUUUUUUAAUUUAUAAGUUAACCCUAAAUCUCCUCCCACCCAUCUGCCCCUUCACUCAUCCCUUCACUGCAACUCUUGCGGCGGCUGAUUCCUUCCCGAUCGGCUGCGGCACAGGUUUCAAUUUGGCAUGAUCUCAGUGUAGUUGAAGACAACUGUAUUUGUUCACGUCUUUUCGGUAAAAUGCAGAAUGAGCGAAGUUGGAUGUAUAAUAAGAAUUCAAGUAUAAUGCAG